GACGAACGCUGGCGGCGUGCUUAACACAUGCAAGUCGAACGAAAAGGCCCUGCUUUUGUGGGGUGCUCGAUUGGCGAACGGGUGAGUAACACGUGAGUAACCUGCCCUUGACUUUGUGAUAACUUCAGGAAACAGGGGCUAAUACCGGAUAUGAUCUCCUGCUGCAUGGGGUUGGUUGGAAAGUUUCGGCGGUUGUGGAUGGACUCGAGGCUUAUCAGCUUGUUGGUGGGGUAGUUGCUUACCAAGGCUUUGACGGGUAGCCGGCGUGAGAGGGUGACCGGCGACCUUGGGACUAAGAGACGGCCCAGAAUGCUACGGGCGGCAGUAGUGGAGAGUAUUGCACAAUGGGCGGGAGCCUGAUGUGGAAACGCCGCGUGCGGAAUGACGGGCUUCGGGUUGUAAACAGCUGUCGACUGUGACGAAGCGUGAGUGACGGUACUUGGUCAGAAAGCAACGGCUAACUACGUG
rnacentral:rRNA from 1 species